rnacentral:rRNA from 1 species
CUAGUUGGUGAGGUAACGGCUCACCAAGGCGACGAUGCGUAGCCGACCUGAGAGGGUGAUCGGCCACAUUGGAACUGAGACACGGUCCAGACUCCUACGGGAGGCAGCAGUGGGGAAUAUUGCACAAUGGGCGAAAGCCUGAUGCAGCAACGCCGCGUGAGUGAUGAAGGCCUUCGGGUCGUAAAGCUCUUUGAUCAGGGAUGAUAAUGACAGUACCUGAAAAACAAGCCACGGCUAACUACGUGCCAGCAGCCGCGGUAAUACGUAGGUGGCGAGCGUUGUCCGGAAUUACUGGGCGUAAAGGAUGCGUAGGUGGAUAUUUAAGUGGGAUGUGAAAUCCCCGGGCUCAACCCGGGAACUGCAUUCCAAACUGGAUAUCUAGAGUGCAGGAGAGGAAAGCGGAAUUCCUAGUGUAGCGGUGAAAUGCGUAGAUAUUAGGAGGAACACCAGUGGCGAAGGCGGCUUUCUGGACUGUAACUGACACUGAGGCAUGAAAGCGUGGGUAGCAAACAGGAUUAGAUACCCUGGUAGUCCACGCCGUAAACGAUGGGUACUAGGUGUAGGAGGUAUCGACCCCUUCUGUGCCGUCGUUAACACAAUAAGUACCCCGCCUGGGGAGUACGGUCGCAAGACUAAAACUCAAAGGAAUUGACGGGGGCCCGCACAAGCAGCGGAGCAUGUGGUUUAAUUCGAAGCAACGCGAAGACCCUUACCUAGACUUGACAUCUCCUGAAUUACCCUUAACCGGGGAAGCCCUUCGGGGCAGAAGACAGUGUGCAUGAUGUCGUCAGCUCGUGUCGUGGAUG